AAAUAAAUUUUUUAUGGUUUAAAAAUUUUAUUAUAAAUUUAUUUUGCAUAUAAAUUUUAGUAAUAAUUUUUAAUUAUUUUAAUAAUAAUUAAUUUAAUAAAUAGUAGUAAUUAAUAUUAAAAAUUUAAGAAAUUAAGAUUUAGUAAUAUUUAAAUUAAUAACAAAUUUUGUGCCAGCAGUUGCGGUUAAACAAAAGUUAAAUUAAACUUUAUUAGUAAUUAAUAAAUAAAUUAUUAAUUUUAAAUAAAUAUUAAAUUAUUAAGUGAAAUUUUAAUUUAAUUAAAAUUAAUAUAAAAUUUAUGAUUUAAUAAAUUUUUAAAAUAAACUAGGAUUAGAUACCCUAUUAUUAAAAAUUUAAAUUUAUAAUGCUAAAAUAGUAUGUAAUUAUUUAUUGAAACUUAAAUAAUUUGGCGGUAUCUUAGUUCAUUUAGAGGAAUCUGUUUAAUAAUUGAUAGUCCACGAAUAAAUUUACUUAAUUUAAUAUUUUGUAUAUCGUUGUUAAAAAAAUAUUUUUAAAUAAUAAUAAUAUUUAAAAAUUAAAAUUAAAAAUUAAAUCAGAUCAAGAUGCAGAUUAUAAUUAAGAAUAUAAUGGAUUACAAUGAAUUUAUUUAAACUAAUAUUAAUUUGUAAUAAUUAAUUGAAGGUGGAUUUAAAUGUAAUUUUAUUUAAUUUAUUAAAAUGAUUAUAAAUUAAGAUAUGUACAUAUUGCCCGUCGCUUUCAUAAAUAAAUUGGAAUAAGUCGUAACAAAGUAGAGGUACUGGAAAGUGUUUCUAGAAAUA
rnacentral:ncRNA from 1 species